CCUUUGCCGUUGCCGUGCUCGACAAACGAUCCCCCUUCUCUCUCCCUCCCUCCCUCUCUGUAGAGCUCGCGAAGCAAACGAAGCCAUGUCUUCCGCCCCGACGCAGCGGUUCCACGGAUCGAAAGGACCGUAUCGCUACCAGAAAAAGUUCGUACCCAAGAACGAUAACUCAUCCUCAUCCACCUCUUCCUCGGCAAAUCCCUCGAGCUCCAAUCGCAGCAAUCCUCUCCGGCCCCUCACCACCGCUCUGAGGAACCACUCCGCCGUCGCUACGGCCCGCUCUGGAUCGAGGGAGAAGCUCUGCGAUGAAGGGAACUUCGUCACCUACUUGCCUCACGACGAGGCCGUGGCCUCCGGCCUCGGCGCUGACGCCGGCGGCCUGGAUGCUGUCGAGUCGCAGGCCGUCGUCGACCUCCUCAACGAUGAGCUAUCCAAGAUCCUUAAGAUGAGCCCUAGGGAUUUCUGGAGAGAAGUGGCGAAGAAUGAUGCUUUGAUUGAGUUCUUGGAUAGUUACCUGCAGUUCAGAAAUAGAUGGUCUGAUUUCCCACAUCGGGGAUCGAGGGGGGUUGUUGCUGGGGUCAUCGUCGGGGAGCUUGAGCUAUGUCGACGUGUUUUUAUGAUCCUCUAUCGAAUGUCUUCCAACAAGGAUCCUGGGGCGUGUCGAAAUGAUUGCCUCAGUAUGAAGGAUCAUACAGCCCUCUUGCAGGAAAAGAAUCUGCUGGAUUUGCCAAAAUUAUUGGAUAUUUGUGCUAUCUAUGGACAUGAUAAUGAAGAGUUAACCAAGUCAUUGGUCAUAAAUGGUAUAAGAGCCCAGCCAAAUCUCCUUGAUAAAGUUGAAGCAGUGGUCUCCCAUUUCCUAAAUAUAGUGCACACUAUGCAUGAACGCUGCAGCUCCUCUUUAGAGGUACUGAUUUCAUCUCAAGGGCAUGAAACUCAUGGAUCUGGUCAUUUGCAUAAAGAUUUUUUGGAGGUGAUGGACUUUAUAAAUGAUGCGGUUGUGACACUAGAUGCAUUUGCUGAUGCAUAUAGACCUGCAAGUUUUUACUUGUCUCUUUCAUUUGAGAUGAAUUAUGGGAAUGAAGAUAUGCUCAGAACUUUGGCAAGACUGCAUGAUUCUUUGCUGCCAUCUUUGCAGAAAGGUCUUGCAAUUGUUUCUAGUACCAUUGCUGAUGGGUCAUCGAACAGCCUGCUCACUGAAACACUUAUCAGUCUAAGAAUGUUGUCAACGAGAAUAGUCAAGUUUGGUUGGAAAUUGCUUGACUUUUGCUAUUUGAAUGAUAAGUUAAUAGAGGAUGGGUUUCAAACUGCUUCAAAGAUGUUUCCAGCCAGAGUUGAGGAUCCUGUGAUAAGGGGAGAUAUUCUAGUUCAGACGUUCAAAGAGAUUAAUCAGGAAAUUUCUUAUAAAUUUUCAGAAAAUCAUGGAAAUGGAACAUUUCUUCAGAAACUUGAGACAGAGUUCAAGAUUUUGAGACGUGUUGACGACCUUCGCAGCAAUGGAUGGCUCUUUAUGGAUGAGGAACAAUAUCGAUAUAUAUCUCGUAUUGCAGCACCAACUCAUAUAAAGUCCUGGGAAUCGGGAUCUGUGAUCCCCAUCUCUUCACUGAAUGAAAAAGUACAGAUGGAUGAGGAGACUGUAAUAGCUGAGUCUAAGAUUAGUCAAAUUAAGGACCUCUUCCCAGAUUAUGGGAGAGGUUUUCUAUCAGCUUGUCUUGAAGUCUAUAACCAGAAUCCCGAGGAAGUGAUUCAGAGGAUACUAGAGGGAACACUUCAUGAAGAUCUUUUGUCUUUAGAUACUUCACUAGAGCAGGUUCCAUCACGAAAACAAACAUCCAGCCGCAGUGAUAAAGGGAAAGGUUUAUUACUAGAAUCUGCACCUCAAGGUACCUUGCCAUCUACCGCCACGGGUCCUAGUAGGCAGCAGAAAGAUGACGCUGGCCCUCCAUCUUCCUCUCUUUCAUCCUCGUACGGGCGAUACACAAGAAAGCCUAAUGAUGAAGUUCCUAAUUCCACCAUUCUUGACUCAAGAACAGCUAAAGAUGCUGUAAGGGCAGCCGUCCUUGCAGCAGAGCUUGAAUAUGAAGAUGAAUAUGAUGACUCAUUUGAUGAUCUAGGCCUGAGUAUCGUUGAAUCAGUAACCGAGGAGACAGAGAACUUAUCUGAUAGAAUUAAAUCCUUAUCAGGAAUAGCCUCAGGUUCAGAUACUGGAGGUUCAUCAAAUUCUAGCUCAAAAUGGAGUUCACAAAAGAAGCUACAAUUUUACGUCAAGGAUGGGAAGAACUAUAGCUAUAAAGUUUCUGGUUCAGUUGCUGUGUACGAUGCUCAAGAAGCAGCUCUUGUCAACCAAGCACAGAAAGAGAUGAUUCAUGGUCUGGGACGUGGUGGAAAUUUACCAGUUGGGGCUGUUAAGAGGCUGAUGGAUGCCGAGGACCAGGACCAAGACCAUCAGAUGCCUGACACCGCAGAAAAUGCAGGUAGAGGGAACACCAAUCCUCAGGGAAGGGGAGGAAGGAGAGGCGGCAGGCACCACCACCACCGGAAGGAUAGAGCAAUGAAGAAGCACUUGUCAGGAGUGGGUGGCUAUUAGAUGCUUGCACUCUUGAGUAGAUGCACAGCUUAUAUAUAUAUGUAGGAGAAAGCCUUCCUCGACUUGGAAAAUGCAGAACAGAACAUAUCGGCCUCAGACCUUUUUAUCAGGCUUCUUAUAAAACAAAAAAUAGACAUAUAAACCCAAAUAAUCCAAGAUCUUAUAAACAAGAGCAGUAAGAAUAGAUAGUAAGAGGAUGCUUGUCCAAGGCCCGCCCAUCCUCUCCUGGGAACAAACAUGCAGGUAAGACGAUGAAGAUGAUGGGAGGUGAACACGAAGGAUGUCAAGCUGUUACUCAUUUUGGAGCUCAAGCGAGGAGGAAAGCGAGUCGUCGUAUCCUAUCCAAUCCUUCUGUACAUCACUCUUUCUCAAGUAAGUGCGUCCAAUGUGAAGAACGACAAUUAGGAAGUCAGUUGAAUAUUAUCGUUCGAAACAGAUGAAUGGAGUGUGAUAAGAAGAUAAAAAAAGGAGAGAAUCGAAGACUUAUGAUUUAGUUACCUAACAGCAGCAGAUAAGCACGAGUGGGUUAGCAACAUGCUAAGUAUGUACAUUAUCAGUACACCAUAUAUAACAUAAGACACGUCAAUUGAAUAGCCCAAACAGUGGAUGUUCA